rnacentral:rRNA from 1 species
CCUGAGAAAUCCAAAAGUUCGAAUGGAGAGAUUCAUCGUUAGUGGCUGUUGGCUUGCGUGUGAUCGCGAUGCUCGAACGUGCGGUGCUUUCGGGUAUUUAGCGCGUUCGGGGCACGCGGUCGCUGCGUCAUGUCCGACGACGCCGGCGUGCACUUCUCUCCUAGUAGGACGUCGCGACCCGUUGGGUGUCGAUCGACGGCCCGUACGGUAGACUGUCGUGCCAAACCGGCACGGCAGACCAUCGGUGUCCUUUACCCGAUCGACUGCCCGGCGGUAUUGAAAACUUUUAAUCAAGAUUGGUAUCGAGUCGCACUUUCGAAUGCGUUCGGCUUGGCGAUCGAUCGAGUCUCGCUCGGAUUUAACGGACCUCGUGCCGUUGCCGUGCGCGCUUGGCUCUUUUGAACGCCAAUGUUCUCGAACCGGCUCGGAAAAGCCUAGCGCUUUUCAAUUAAAAUUACCGGUCAGCGACGCUUUUGCUUUGGAUACUUUCAGG